rnacentral:rRNA from 14 species
UUUCCCUCAGGAUAGCUGGCACUCGCUUGAGCGAGUCUCAUCUGGUAAAGCGAAUGAUUAGAGGCCUUGGGGCCGAAACGACCUCAACCUAUUCUCAAACUUUAAAUGGGUGAGAUCUCUGGCUUGCUUGAACGUUGAAGCCACGAGAUUAUUGCAAUGGAUCAGAGUGCCAAGUGGGCCAAUUUUGGUAAGCAGAACUGGCGCUGUGGGA